GACGAACGCUGGCGGCGUGCUUAACACAUGCAAGUCGAACGGUAAGGCCCUUCGGGGUACACGAGUGGCGAACGGGUGAGUAACACGUGGGGAUCUGCCCUGCACUUCGGGAUAAGCCUGGGAAACUGGGUCUAAUACCGGAUAGGACUCCUGCCUGCAUGGGUGGGGGUGGAAAGCUUUUGCGGUGUGGGAUGGGCCCGCGGCCUAUCAGCUUGUUGGUGGGGUGAUGGCCUACCAAGGCGACGACGGGUAGCCGGCCUGAGAGGGUGACCGGCCACACUGGGACUGGGAUACGGCCCAGACUCCUACGGGAGGCAGCAGUGGGGAACAUUGCACAAUGGGCGCAAGCCUGAUGCAGCGACGCCGCGUGAGGGAUGACGGCCUUCGGGCUGUAAACCUCUUUCAGCACAGACGAAGCGCAAGUGACGGUAUGUGCAGAAGAAGGACCGGCCAACUACGUGCCAGCCGCCGCGGUAA
rnacentral:rRNA from 1 species